rnacentral:rRNA from 1 species
CGUGUAGGCGGUCUGUUAAGUCUGGUGUGAAAGCCCUGGGCUCAACCCAGGAAGUGCAUUGGAUACUGGCAGACUUGAGUAUGGAAGAGGAAAGCGGAAUUCCGAGUGUAGGAGUGAAAUCCGUAGAUAUUCGGAGGAACACCAGUGGCGAAGGCGGCUUUCUGGACCAAUACUGACGCUGAGACGCGAAAGCGUGGGGAGCAAACAGGAUUAGAUACCCUGGUAGUCC